CCUACCCCAAUGAAGAUAGAAUGUCUCCAUGAGAAAAGAACUCCAUCUUUCUGUCUGUGGCAGGGGAAUCCCUGUCCCUCUUCCAGCCUUACCUCACCCCCACCCCCAUUGUUUGAAGGAGAAGGAAUGUGUUGUUCUUCAGACAACGUAAAGAAUAUGUGCAGCUUCUGGGGAGCGACAACAGCUGAGAACCCCACACUGGUUCUGGAUGAAAUUCAAUGCGCGCCGACCUAAUCGCCAUGACCGGGAAUUUGGAAGGAGUCUGAAGCGCCUUCGUGUUAUUGGACAAACACUGCCUCUUCCCAAGCAGGCUGGGGCAUUGCGGUGAAAGGCCUUUGAUAAGAAGAGGCAGGCCCCUGGGAGGCGAGGCGAGCCACCCACCACUUUCUUAGGCGCUAUUGUCCCAGGCUGGGGAUUGUGAUGUGAGGCUCCGGGUGCACACAAUACCGCACCUCCCGCAAUGGGCCAUUCAUUGGGCCUCAAGGUUCCCUGAUGGGAGGGAGCCCGUUGACCCCGGAUAAUAGAUGAAAGUGUUUCUCACUUGCCUUCGCCUCCUGACCUUUUGCCACCAUUUUUCAUGCACUGUCUCCUCUCCAGCCAGACAGGCGAAUUCUUCCUCUGAUGCUACAGGCCGGGUGACCCUCUCCUGUAUGCAUGCCAAAGCGGGUUGCUUGUGGAGGACAGCCAGAGGAGACCUUGCCUAAUGUGUCCAAAGCAAGCCAGAGUCAUUUCCUCCCCUAUCCCACUCCUUGCAUUUGUAUAUGUAUGCAUAAAUGUUUGUGAACAUAGAUAGAUACCCGCUUCUUGCACCAGUACUGGACCUGCAUACCAAAAAUUCAAACCGGUGAGUGUUCAUUUGCUCGUUUUGCUUCUCUGAUGUCUACUCUCUCUGACUCCAGGUGGAAAAUAGAUUCAAAUUCACUGCA